GUCCUUUUGAGUUUAAUUUAAGGUCUGAUCUGCCCACUGAAUUUUUAAAUGGCCGCAGUAAUUUGACUGUGCAAAGGUAGCAUAAUAAUUAGUUUUUUAAUUUAAAGCUUGUAUGAAGGGUUGGACGAAAUAAAAUCUGUCUCUAUUUAAUUAAAUUUAGAAUUUAACUUUUAAGUUAAAAGGCUUAAAUAUUAUUAAAAGACGAGAAGACCCUAUAGAUCUUUAUUUUUUUUUUUAUAAUUUUAAUUAGGAAUUAUUAAUUUUUUAUUAAAAAAAGCAUUUUAUUGGGGUAAUAUAAAGAUUAAAAUAAUUCUUUUUUAUUUAAACAUAUAUUUAUGGUAUUAAUGAUCCAAUUUUAUUGAUUAUAAGAUUAAGUUACCUUAGGGAUAACAGCGUAAUUUUUUUUGAGAGUUCUUAUCGAUAAGAAAGUUUGCGACCUCGAUGUUGGAUUAAAGAUUAUUUUAGGUGUAGAAGCUUGAAAAUUUUGGUCUGUUCGACCAUUAAAUCUUUACAUGAUCUGAGUUCAGACCGGCGUAAGCCAGGUCGGUUUCUAUCUUUAAUAAAUUAAAAUAUUUUAGUACGAAAGGACCAAUUAUUUAAUAUAUUUAUAUUUAAUUUUUUGAAUGUUAUUAA
rnacentral:rRNA from 2 species